UGGGGAAUAUUGCGCAAUGGGCGAAAGCCUGACGCAGCGACGCCGCGUGAGGGAUGAAGGUUUUCGGAUCGUAAACCUCUGUCAGAAGGGAAGAAACCGCACUGUGCUAAUCAGCAGUGCCUUGACGGUACCUUCAAAGGAAGCACCGGCUAACUCCGUGCCAGCAGCCGCGGUAAUACGGAGGGUGCAAGCGUUAAUCGGAAUUACUGGGCGUAAAGCGCACGUAGGCUGCUUUGUAAGUCAGGGGUGAAAUCCCACGGCUCAACCGGGGAACUGCCUUUGAUACUGCUUAGCUUGAAUCCGGGAGAGGGUGGCGGAAUUCCAGGUGUAGAGGUGAAAUCCGUAGAUAUCUGGAGGAACAUCAGUGGCGAAGGCGGCCACCUGGACCGGUAUUGACGCUGAGGUGCGAAAGCGUGGGGAGCAAACAGG
rnacentral:rRNA from 1 species